CUGGAAGGUAAGUAACGCAGCCGGGUCCUGGAAGGUAAAUAACACAGCCAGGUCCUGGAAGUUAAGUAACACAGCGACACAGCCAGGUCCUGGAAGGUAAGUAACACAGCCAGGUCCUGGAAGGUAAGUAACACAGCCAGACCCUGGAAGGUAAGUAACACAGCCGGGUCCUAGCAGGUAAGUAACACAGCCGGGUCCUGGCAGGUAAGUAACACAGCCAGGUCCUGGAAGGUAAGUAACACAGCCAGGCCCUGGAAGGUAAAUAACACAGCAACACAGCC